GGUGGCCCUGCUGGCAAGAUUAAUUAUAGCUUGAAGUAUAGCCCUCCCCUAAGAGAUUUCUUUUCUUAAGUAAUAUAUUGCUUGCAGAUCUAGACAUAAACACAACAUUUAUCUCCUGCUCUGUGGGGGAGCAGGAUGGAUUGCCUCUGCAUUACUUUCAUCAUGAUCUUGUAACAAGUGUCCAGAACAGCUGCAUACCCCAGGGGGCUUUGUGUUCAGAGAGGAGAUAUAACUUCUGGUAACAUCACCUGAUGUCCCUUUUUUCCUUCAGCUCUCCUCCCUGCUGCUCGACCCAACUGCGUGUCUCACUUCAAAAUUAUGACUUGAGAUCUGGAUCCUGUUCCCAGCUUUGGUGUUGCAAUUUCCUGUUCCACCCAUUCCUUCCAAUAUGCAGGGCUAUUGGAAAAACACUUCAGACAGAAAUAUUUUAUCUUGCAUCUGGCUCAGCUGCACAAAGAUUCACAAGAGUAACAGGACUUUUGGUGAGUUCUGGCAUAAUGAAAUGGAUGGGGAAAGCCAGGUGCCGGGAAGAAGGAUGCGAAGAUCUGAAGGUGAAUAUUCUGCUGGUGGUGACACUGAACUUAAAGCAAGGAGACUGGCUAAUGGAAAUGAUUAUGGAAGUGGAAGUGACAGCUGCUGAAGUGGAAGGGAAAACUGAAGAUUUAAAGUGCCGAAAAUAUGUUUGCAGCACUGAAGAAGAGGUUCUGUUGUUUCACUCUUUCUCACACUCAUCUGUGUAUAAAAACCAAUGCAUUUUCCACAAAAUUUUCUUCAAAACAGAUGUAUUUGGGUCCCUUCAUUAAGUUAAUAUUUUCCUAAUUUCUCUCAUGUGCUGGAAAGGAAUACUUAGCUUUUAAUUAAAUUUUAAUUAAAAUUAAGAAUUACUGUUUUUCUAACAUUUAUUUCUUUAUGUUAUGAGAUCUGUAAAGAUGAGCUAGAAAG
ensembl:lncRNA